UGAAGGCUAGAAUGAAUGGUUGGACAAGAAAUAAUCUGUCUUAAGUGAAUAUAUUGAAUUUAACUUUUGAGUGAAAAGGCUUAAAUAAUCUGAAGGGACGAUAAGACCCUAUAAAACUUUAUAUUUAUAAGGUAGUAAGUUAGUUUUAUUUAAAGGUACUAUGUUAGAAUGUUUGGUUGGGGUGACAAGGAUAAAAUAUAAAAUAACUGUCUUUUUUUUUUACAGUAAUGUUUGGUUUAAUGAUUCUAAAAGGGAUUAAAAGAUUAAGUUACUUUAGGGAUAACAGCGUAAUUUUCUUUAAGAGUUCUUAUCGACAGGAAAGUUUGCGACCUCGAUGUUGAAUUAAAAGUUCUUUAUAGAGUAGAGACUAUAAUAGAAGGUCUGUUCGACCUUUAAAAUUUUAC
rnacentral:rRNA from 1 species